rnacentral:rRNA from 1 species
ACGCUGGCGGCGUGCCUAAUACGUGCAAGUAGAACGCUGAAGAGAGGAGCUUGCUCUUCUUGGAUGAGUUGCGAACGGGUGAGUAACGCGUAGGUAACCUGCCUUGUAGCGGGGGAUAACUAUUGGAAACGAUAGCUAAUACCGCAUAACAAUGGGUGACUCAUGUCAUUUAUUUGAAAGUGGCAAAUGCUCCACUACAAGGUGGACCUGCGUUGUAUUAGCUAGUAGGUGAGGUAACGGCUCACCUAGGCGACGAUACAUAGCCGACCUGAGAGGGUGAUCGGCCACACUGGGACUGAGACACGGCCCAGACUCCUACGGGAGGCAGCAGUAGGGAAUCUUCGGCAAUGGGGGCAACCCUGACCGAGCAACGCCGCGUGAGUGAAGAAGGUUUUCGGAUCGUAAAGCUCUGUUGUAAGUCAAGAACGAGUGUGAGAGUGGAAAGUUCACACUGUGACGGUAGCUUACCAGAAAGGGACGGCUAACUACGUGCCAGCAGCCGCGGUAAUACGUAGGUCCCGAGCGUUGUCCGGAUUUAUUGGGCGUAAAGCGAGCGCAGGCGGUUUGAUAAGUCUGAAGUUAAAGGCUGUGGCUCAACCAUAGUUCGCUUUGGAAACUGUCAAACUUGAGUGCAGAAGGGGAGAGUGGAAUUCCAUGUGUAGCGGUGAAAUGCGUAGAUAUAUGGAGGAACACCGGUGGCGAAAGCGGCUCUCUGGUCUGUAACUGACGCUGAGGCUCGAAAGCGUGGGGAGCGAACAGGAUUAGAUACCCUGGUAGUCCACGCCGUAAACGAUGAGUGCUAGGUGUUGGAUCCUUUCCGGGAUUCAGUGCCGCAGCUAACGCAUUAAGCACUCCGCCUGGGGAGUACGACCGCAAGGUUGAAACGCAAAGGAAUUGACGGGGGCCCGCACAA